rnacentral:rRNA from 1 species
UACGUAGGGAGCAAGCGUUGUCCGGAAUCAUUGGGCGUAAAGCGCGCGUAGGUGGCUUCGUAAAUCCGUUGUGAAAGUCAAAGGCUCAACCUUUGAAAGCCGAUGGAUACUGCGGAGCUAGAGUACGGAAGAGGCGAGUGGAAUUCCUGGUGUAGCGGUGAAAUGCGCAGAUAUCAGGAGGAACACCAAUGGCGAAGGCAGCACUCUGGGACGUGACUGACGCUGAGACGCGAAAGCGUGGGGAGCAAACAGG